rnacentral:tRNA from 1 species
GGUGGGGUGGCCGAGUGGUUAAUGGCAGCAGACUGUAAAUCUGCCCGCGUGUGCGUCCGUAGGUUCGAAUCCUACCCCCACUA